GGGUUAAGAAACCCUAGAUAGAAAGAUGGAGCGAGAGAGCGGCAUGGGACGAGGGGAGGAUGGGGCUUCUCUCAGCCUCUUCUGCUUCUAUAUAAGGAAGGUCGAGGGGGAGAGGAGGCAAAGCAAAAAAAAGAUCAGAUCUGAGCGGCUGACGAGCUGCUACUUUCACAGGCUCCAACCCCCUCCCCUUCCUUCCUUCCUCUCUCUCUCUCUCUCUCUCUCUCUCUCUCUCUCUCUCUCUCUCUCUCUCUUUCCAACCUGAGCCUUCUUUGACUGGUUUCUUGAAGCGGAAACCGUAAGAUUUGGGUGCAGAAAGGAGGGGGAUUGGGUCGGUGUCUAUUUUCUCCUUUUCUCUCUCCAAAAGCGUGGCGGCGGUGGUGAUGGUGGGUCGGGGGCUGACAGAAGAGAGUGAGCACACAGCGCGGCAAUUGCAUCGGGGAAUGCCGUUCCCGUUGCGUGCUCACUUCUCUUUCUGUCAGCUUCUUUCUCUGUGGAACAGAACCGUUGCCUACUUACUCCACCGCCUUUAAUUCUCUUGUUUUUAUUUCUUUCCUCGGUGACUGGCUAAAAAUAGAACGGGUGCAUUAACAUUCGAUGGGAAAGGGGUUCGUAUAUGUGUGUGAAAGAAGGACACGCGUGCAGGCUUUCCUCCCUUCUCCCCUUCUCUCUCUCUAACGCAUCUGAUCUGAUAUUGUCGAUGAUGAUAACGCCUAGCUUGCUGUCCCUCCUUCUCUCUCACGCUCUCCAUCUGUCGCCUGGGCGACUCCGAGACGUCCUUCUCUGGCUCGCUUCUCUACGGAAGGCGGGACUUCCGGGAACCGGUGUAUGCUGAUUGGGUUGGAAAUUGGUGGAGGGAAUGGAUGAGAGGGGAAUGGGAUGAAGAAUUAGGCGUGGAGUGGAAAAGCGUGACUUUUGAGAUGUGGGCUGUUUGUUGGGAACCGGAUCGGAUUAGGACGAGCCCCCUCUGUCUGCGGCGCUGGCUUGACGGAAAGAUCAUUGUUUUGACCGGUCCUUCGUCUAUCCUUUCUCCUCCGUUUUCACCGUCUUCCUUCUCUCCCUACUCUUUUCUCUCUCUUCUUUUACUAUUUUUGGCAGGAUUCGUGAUCUUGGCCCCCAGAAUCUAGAGACAGAUCUCACCGCUGCUCGGCCGAAAUCAUCGUCGCCGGGUCGUACUGGGACUGGCACUUAAAGCAAAAUAAGAAGAGGACAUGAUUGGCUCCCAGAUCUGGGUUUCCAUAUAUGCUUGGUGGAUUAUUUUAGGUUCCUGUAAUAUAAAGAUUAUACCAGGAAGACAUACGAUGAUUCAGCCGCAGCUAACAACUGUCGAGGCUGCUUGUAUGUGGGAGAGUAAAGGAGGAGAAGAGAACAUAAAAAAAGCCUAUUCUUUACUGCUCUUUAUCUUAGUAAGGUAUCACUACAGAGAGUGUUUCCUGAAACAGUGGAUGCAACUACACUGGCUAUGUAUUGCCUGCCUCCAAGAGUGCAGCAUCGCUUUGAGGAAGGGCAGGCCGCUCCAUGGCACUAAACAAGGGUGCACCAAAAAGGGCAGUAAGCAGGAGAAAAAUCAUGGAACAGGCUCCAGAGACUGUUGAAGUUGGUCAUGACUGCAGUGACGGAUAAAUGAGAGAAAACUGGGUUAAUGAUGGAUAUGUGCAUGUAGAAGAAGAGCUGAAACGAUCUCCCAUUUGCUGAUUAGGUGGCUAUUUAUCCGUAGUUUAUAGACAACAAUAAAAGUGCAGCAAAAUCUAAGAGGAUGGCCUACCAACAAUAGUGAUCUAUGGAGCAAAUGGAGAAACAGAAAAUUCUAACAACUGAUGAGAAGAGCUGCAGAUCAAUUGAUUGCUACCAUCUGCUGGAAAAUAUGGAGGGAGCAAAAUGCUCAGAUUUUUUUAAAGAAAUUAAGUUCUAUAUCUUGUAUUUUGCAAAAAAAUUCUAUCAAUCUUCUUCAGCUAGAAAUAUCUCUCUUCAGUGAAGCUACUAGAUCUUCAUCUCAAACUUUGAAAUAACCUUGCAUUAUUGGCACAUGUUGGGAGACAUUAAUUUCUCUUAUUUAGAAAAAGGCAGACUCACUUCAGGGUACAGAGCUUCCACAGUUGCACAUUGAAGAUACAGAGAUCCUUCAAACCGCUUAUCAGAUUGUUUAGUUUGUUGUUGAAUGGUUUAACGGAUCUACUUGACCACUAUUUUCUGUAAAAGACUAUUAUUUUUUUUAUGUUUUUUUCUCUUGCAAAUUCUUUGUAAAUAGUUUCUAUAAACUCUCUUGUUCUAAUACCUCCCUCUUCAUAAAAAAAAAAGUACCAUUCUUUCAUUCAA